UUAUGUAUAUUUUUUGCUAAAGUGCAUGCUUCUUGUUUCAGACAAGAAAUGGCUGAUUUUGUAUCUCUAAGAGACAGAAUUCACAGAGCUGAACUUUGUUGCGUCACUGAGAACUGCAGCUCUGAGCAUCCCCACGGGGUACUUGGUCCUUCCUGCUUUGGUCAGCUCUCUGUAUGUACCAUGUUUCAGGAUUACACAUACCUCCGAGUUUGCCAUGGCUGAAGCUUGCAGUUCUGUUUCUGCUCCCUGUUGUUCUACUCUGCAGUUUUUCUGUAAUUCCAAUGGUAUUCUAAAUGCCUUAUUUUGAAAGGACCCAGAGCAUUAACAUUAAUAAUUUAAAAAAUCCUUUCUUCCUCACUCAGAUAUCUCUGCCACAAAAGAAUGGAGACAUUUUAGUUGUUUCUGGAAGCUGGAAGUCCAAGGUCAAGGUGCCAGCACGGUCAGCUUCUGGCAGCACCCAGAGGUCACCACUGAGCAAGGGCGUCUUGCGCCUUGUGCUCCUGGAGAAGACAAGUUGCCAGUGACCACGUCUGGGGAGGAGGACCCCCAGGUCCUGCUGGCCUUGAUCCGUGCCCGGAGAGAGCCACCCCCUCCACUGCACUUCAGGGCAGAGGUACCUCAUUGAUUAUUCACAUGAUUAAGGAAGACUUAGAAAUUUGAGAAUUGAUAACUUAUGCAGGUGACUCUCGAACAACGCAGGGACUGGGGCACCAGCACUGCGUGCAGUCGAAAGUCCGUGUACAGCUUCUAGUCGGCCCUCCGGAUGCAGGUUCCACACCCUUGGACCCAGCCGACUGCGGAUCGCGCGGUAGUGCAGUGCUCACUGCUGAAGGACAUCCUCGUGCAAGUGGACCGUGCCGUUCAAACCCGUGCUGUUCAAGAGUCAACUGUACCUCCUUCUUUGGGGUCUAGGAUGACAGAAAAAGAAAAAAAACUCUAAAGAACAAUACUUUGGUAUGGAAUUAUGUCGUGUGCACUGAGAAGAGACUGAUUCCUUCUCAGAGCUGUGGUGAGUCCAGGUCUGGAAUCAGUGGUCCAGCUUCUGACAAGCCUCAGACCACUUACUAGGGGCUCAUUUUCAUCAUGCCCAUUACUGCACAUUGUGCAGUUACUCCUGGUAAGAAUCUGAGUAUCAAUAACUGGAAAGCUUCAAAAGGAAUAUAUAUAUGCAUGUAUAGGUAUAUAUACACGUGUGUGUAUAUAUAUUCACGCCCAUAUGAACUUUCAUUUAUAUACAAGAAAAAUACAAAUGGCUCUAAUAAGAAUAAUAAAACUCUAAAUUCA